AGCGAACGCUGGCGGCAGGCCUAACACAUGCAAGUCGAACGAACUCUUCGGAGUUAGUGGCGGACGGGUGCGUAACACGUGGGAACGUGCCUUUUGGUUCGGAAUAACUCAGGGAAACUUGUGCUAAUACCGAAUGCGCCCUUCGGGGGAAAGAUUUAUCGCCAUUAGAGCGGCCGCGUCUGAUUAGCUAGUUGGUGAGGUAACGGCUCACCAAGGCGACGAUCAGUAGCUGGUCUGAGAGGAUGACCAGCCACACUGGGACUGAGACACGGCCCAGACUCCUACGGGAGGCAGCAGUGGGGAAUCUUGCGCAAUGGGCGAAAGCCUGACGCAGCCAUGCCGCGUGAAUGAUGAAGGUCUUAGGAUUGUAAAAUUCUUUCACCGGGGACGAUAAUGACGGUACCCGGAGAAGAAGCCCCGGCUAACUUCGUG
rnacentral:rRNA from 1 species